AGACUUGUAGCUCAAUGGUAGAGCAGUCCCCUCAUAAGGGAUUGGUCGUGGGUUCGAUUCCUACCAGGUUCA
rnacentral:tRNA from 1 species